rnacentral:snoRNA from 1 species
UGCAGAUGAUGUGAAAAAAUAUUUGCCAUCUGAGUGAUAGUGCUGACAUGUCGCCACCAAGAUCACUGAUGCA